GCAAUAAUAGCUUAAGUUAAAGCUUUGGUCUUGUAAGUCAAGGAUGAAAUUAGAAUUCUUAUUGCU
rnacentral:tRNA from 1 species